rnacentral:rRNA from 1 species
GACGAACGCUGGCGGCGUGCUUAACACAUGCAAGUCGAACGGUGAAGCGCUUUCCUUUUUGGUUGGUGUGGAUGAGUGGCGAACGGGUGAGUAACACGUGAGUAACCUGCCCCCUUCUUCUGGAUAACCGCAUGAAAGUGUGGCUAAUACGGGAUAUUCUGCGCCUGCUGCAUGGUGGGUGUGGGAAAGAUUGUGCCUUUGGGUGUUUUCGGUGGGGGAUGGGCUCGCGGCCUAUCAGCUUGUUGGUGGGGUGAUGGCCUACCAAGGCGGUGACGGGUAGCCGGCCUGAGAGGGUGGACGGUCACACUGGGACUGAGACACGGCCCAGACUCCUACGGGAGGCAGCAGUGGGGAAUAUUGCACAAUGGGCGCAAGCCUGAUGCAGCGACGCCGCGUGAGGGAGGGAGGCCUUCGGGGUGUGAACCUCUUUCGCCAGUGAAGCAGGCCUGCUCCUUGUGGGUGGGUUGACGGUAGCUGGAUAAGAAGCGCCGGCUAACUACGUG